rnacentral:piRNA from 1 species
UCAAUCAGUCAACAUCAAACU